UGCGCAUCUCCCUGCUGCAAGGGCUCGGGGGUGCCAGUCCCGUCCCCUAGUGCACGACACAGGGGCCCUUCACGCGGGAACUCAGGGGCUUGCUCUCAAAGUUAAGCUUCCAAAGCACCUAGAGACAACUUGCUGCUGAAGUCUGUAAGACACUGGGCUAGCAGGAGAGACUAAGCAUGAAAAGAUUCAGCAGCGCUUCUCUCUGGGGCUUCCCCAAGCCAAGGCAGACCCGGGACUGCGCUCAGCAUUAUUCUCUCCAGUUUCUAAGGAGCCACAUGCCAGAGGGACAAGACCUGCAAUGUGGAGGGGAACCCUGGAAUAGGGAACCAGUCCAAUAUUGGAUACUACCUAAAGAAAGACACCCAGUGGCACCUGCCAUAGGUGCUGCUGAUGGGUCAAGCACCACACUAAGCACAGUGCUGACCUUCAGAGGUGCCGGGCACAGCAUGUAGAAGAGUGGACACUUUUAGAGAGAAGACCACUACCCAAGUGCAUGGGGCGGAAGAGGGAGCAGCCAACAGAAGCUGUUGCAAAUGCAGCCAUCUAAGAGAGAAGGCACACCUAGCAGCCAGACUGUGGGGAGCCUGCACUGAAAAGCCCUGUAGCACACCCCUCACCUUAGCCAGGGAAAGAGAAUUAGUUACAUGAAAGUGGGGGACACACUAGGCAGAAGUGUUAGAGUCUGGUGUGCAGUCACAUGUCUGAGGCACUGUGAUGCUGGCAAACCAGGUGCCAGCCUAUACCGAGGUCCCCGUGCCUCACUUGGAUACUGACAAACACAGAGCUGGAAUCAGCCUGGUUCACUGUUAAAACGGGGAUUAGAAUGAUAAAAAAUGUGCUUAGGAUACAGACUUCAUGGAAUGCUUGUAAAUUGCUGCUUGCAUUAAUCUCACCUAUAACAUCUGUAUACAGGUAAUAUGUGAGUGUUUGCACUGCAAGCCUCUGUAACUGUGUAAAUCACCAGCUAGGAGCGAAGCAUUAUCUAGUAUAAAAUACGAGUCUCCAACAGGUGUUAUGUCUGACUCCUGCCUGACAAAGAAGGCCCAUCAACACCAGAAAAACUAUUGUGGAACAUCAGAGGACAAAAGAGUUUGUUGCUUGCUUUCCCCCACACCUCAGGAAGAGGAAAGGUGCAAGUGAAUUCCUCCCAUUAGCUGAGUUUGCAACUUGAAACAGAACAGGGGAAGGAAUAAAAACCCUUCACAAGGAGGAACUGUAAUUUUAUGCUGCUUGGACUCUGAGGGGCAAAGAUUACUAAGCAUAACCAAAAGAUCCCCCUGGGUUAGCACUAAAGGACAUAUAGAACUUGCUUAUCAUAGAAGCUUCUAUUACUUAUUGAAACUUAAGAUUGGAAUUCAUGUAUAUAUGUUUACCUGCUUUAACCUUGUAAAUAAUUCUCAUUUCCUUUUCCUACUUAAUAAAUCUUUAGAUAGUUUAUUAUA